rnacentral:lncRNA from 1 species
UUGUUCUAGGACUUCCUUGAACAUCAGACACGGGUGUUGACUGAAGCACCGCCCUUCCAGGACUCAUGCCAGCUCACAGUGUCUAUCCACAAGGCCAAGUAACAGGAGCCUCUUCUCUUUCCACUGCAAAGGAUGUGCCUUCGGAUCAUCUGAAUCAUAAAAAAGGGAGAAGACUGUAGCUCUGACACUUUCUCCACAGAAUUAUAUUAUUGGAAACAGCCCAGACCAUCUCCAAUGCUUACAUCAGAGUGCUUGACUGGAGAACUGGGGUGAAGGGAAAAUAACUCAGUAAGUCUUCCUGAAAGUUCACUUUUCAAGAGCCAGAUCUUGGUGAAGGAGAGCAGAAAUGUUGUUGAGAAUCAAUUAGAAUUUAAGAAGGCCUGGUGCCUCAGUCUAUAGCAGAUACCCAAAGCAGAACUCUGAUAAAAGGGAAGGACAAAGGACUAAGACAGUGGAAAUUAAUUUGUUUUUUAACCAAAGUGAUAUGCACACAGCUUUAAAAGUCAAAUUAUGCAAAGGUUAAAACAAAAAAAAAAUAACUCUUUUUUUGCCUUCUCAACGUACUAUCCUGCUUCUUGUAGGCAAUGAAUUUUAGUGCUUUUUUUCUGAUCUGCUCUUCUAUAUUUUUAAAUAACAUGCUUAAGUUGCUGUUUUAUUUUAUUUAAUUUUAAGCAUAAUCCAGGGACUUCUUAGGAUAGAUAAGGUUUUAACUGCUCUAUCACAACAUUCUCAUUUCCUGCCAACUUUCCUAAUCAUUUUGAUUAAUCGGCAUUCACUGCUUACAUUAUUAUAGCUAUACAAAUAUUAUUUCCUGCUAGCCUAAGGAGUGAACUUAAUUAUAUUUGUUUUCUUAUGCUUAUUUUUUGCUUACCCUAAAUUUAAUAAUUGUUUUGUUUUUUAUUUGCUUAGCUAAAUGCUAUUCCUAAGUUUUCUUAGCCCCAUCACAAUCUCUCAAUACAAUUUCCCUAUAGUCAAGCCAGAGAAAUAAUUAGUUUCAUUUCCCUAGAGAUCUCUCUCACAGAGCACAGUCUCCUAUUGUUCUAAUAUAGAGUGUUUAUGCUCUAGACCUGAUGCCCUUUCAUAGUUCUCUUGUGUUGCAGUU